CACAGUCAGUGCAGAGGAUGGAGACUGGCACUUAACACCAUGCCACAUGAGUCAAAACAGGAGCUUGCUUGGCGGCUAAACUUGUGAGAUCAUGGCAGAGUACAGGAGCAGCCCUGGGUUAUUAUUUCUGUGAGCUGGCAGAGGCCAAGAAGAUCACACAAUACAAUUAUCUAAGCCUCCAGGUAAGAAGCAGACACUUUGAUUCCCCGCUGUUGACUGAGCAGCAGUAACACCCACUGGAGGCAGUCUUUCCUAAUUUCUUUUUUUUUUUCUUCCUAGGAAUUUGUCAUAUGAGUGCUGCAUCCUGGUGAGCCUUCUAGACUAACUACUUAGCACUGAGUUACUGAUAUUCAAUGAAAACAUCUGGGAAAGAAAAAUAUUUAAGAACAGAAGCUAUUUUUCUUAACUUGGCAGCUUAGCCCAAAGAAGAGCAAUGUGGUCAUGAUAUUUUCUCUUAACCUAAAAGCUUCAAGUGAGGGAUGGGAUUCUUUAAAACUUAUAUGAACUUCAGAUCUUGUUUCUUACAGUGCAACUCUCUGUUGCUACCUUCCAUUACAGAGUCCACCAAGUCCGGGUUUGCAGUUGAUGGGGUUUGCAGUUCUGCAGUCUGCAGAACAUCCCUGAAGCAGCAGGGCAAUGUACAUAGCACAAAGAGAUCUUUUUUAUCUUUCUUCCUUGUUCAGCUUUUCAAAUGCAUACUCCAAGCAAGCCCAGUGGGGAUAUUUUCCAGUAUUUCCUGGCAAAAAAUAGCUUAUAAUUGCAAAGUGUCUUUACAAGAUGGUAUAAUUAGUAGUGUCCUCUACCAUUCCUCUUAGACUUUCAAAGAACUGACCUGUAUAUUAGCUCUUUUUGGAUCAAGUGUCCAGAGCUGUAAGCUAAGUGUGUCAUUGUUGCAAGCCCCAGAGCACCAACCAUCUUUGGUGGCAACAUGUUUUAGCUGAAAUUAUAAAAGGUUGUUCUUCAAACCCCCAAACCUUUGGCAUUACUUUAUUUUGUGCUGUUUUAAAUGGUAUGGUAUGUGAUGGCUGGCUAGGAAUUAUCUGAGCUGUAUGAGUUUGUCAAAAAGCAUCAAUUCAUCUUUGCUAGAAAAGAAGGAAGGGACGUAGCAGCUAUCAAAAAAAUGCCAAAUCUGUCCUCGCUGAGUGUCCUUAAAAGAACCCUUUUCAAAUGAUAAAAGUUCUGUUUGUAUAUGGACAAAGAAUUUACUUUUCCUCUCCCCCUCACAGAGGCAUUCAUUACGUCUCAGUCAUGCACAGGCUGGUUCUGUGCUGGCCUCCUGGUGUACCCAAAUAGCUUUACAGUCCCCACUAACAAAGAUUGAACUUGAGAAUAGUUUCACCGAAAUACGUGGGCCAAAUGUGGUCCUCUAACAUGGGACAUUAAUGUAAUUCCAUAGAUGCAAGGAAUUCCUCUGCAUUUGCAUCAGUGAGCCAAGGGCUGAGUCUGACUUUGAAGGUGUGCCAGGCUCCUUUAUAUUGCCGAUAACUAUCACGCUCAGCUAGGGUGGAGUUACCUCAUUGCUGCCUAAGGCAGAACAUAAUCCGCUAAUCCUUGCUGAACACAUAUCAACCCUUGAAAUUUCAACCCUUCAGUGUAUUAUAUUUAAAAAAGAACUAAUGGACAAAGUUGAAACUCUCUUUACGUAGCUGUUUACAGGACAAGCUAGUUCUGUGCCUGGGAAUUUUGUGUCUGACUCCUAUGGAACAGGAGCAACUUCCGAUAAGGUGUUCUACCAAACUAGCCCUUAAAAUGUUUAUGCUCUUAUGGAAUGCUGACUGGAAAUAGACUCCAUUUUCUGCAAACAUUAAUACAAUAAUGAAGGGAAGUGUACUUCGGGUAGUAAAAUGCUCUUAAAUGUGCUAGAUUUCUAAUGGAGAAGGUGAAAGAGUUAGUGUACAUAUGUGUGUAGCAAGCCCAUAAUUUCCUCUUAAGUUAUUUUUUUUCCCAUGGUGGAAGGGAGAGAAGCUAGUAUUGGUUUCUGUCUAUUACUUUUUAUGUUAUUUUCCUGGAAAAUCUGUUUGGAUGUGAAAUUGAGGAGAAAAUAAAUUUGAUGGAUUUCAAAACA
ensembl:lncRNA